rnacentral:rRNA from 1 species
AGUGAACGUUGGCGGUAGGCCUAACACAUGCAAGUCGAACGGCAGCACAGUAAGAGCUUGCUCUUACGGGUGGCGAGUGGCGGACGGGUGCGGAAUACAUCGGAAUCUACUUUUUCGUGGGGGAUAACGUAGGGAAACUUACGCUAAUACCGCAUACGACCUACGGGUGAAAGCAGGGGAUCUUCGGACCUUGCGCGAUUGAAUGAGCCGAUGUCGGAUUAGCUAGUUGGCGGGGUAAAGGCCCACCAAGGCGACGAUCCGUAGCUGGUCUGAGAGGAUGAUCAGCCACACUGGAACUGAGACACGGUCCAGACUCCUACGGGAGGCAGCAGUGGGGAAUAUUGGACAAUGGGCGCAAGCCUGAUCCAGCCAUACCGCGUGGGUGAAGAAGGCCUUCGGGUUGUAAAGCCCUUUUGUUGGGAAAGAAAAGCAGCAGGUUAAUACCCCGCUGUUCUGACGGUACCCAAAGAAUAAGCACCGGCUAACUUCGUG